GAUGAAGAACGUAGCGAAAUGCGAUACUUGGUGUGAAUUGCAGAAUCCCGUGAACCAUCGAGUCUUUGAACGCAAGUUGCGCCCGAAGCCAUUAGGCCGAGGGCACGCCUGCCUGGGCGUCACACGUCGUUGCCCCCCCAUCUACUCCUUCGGGAUUGCGGGGGGCGGAUGAUGGCCUCCCGUGCGCCUCACCGCGCGGUUGGCAUAAAUGCCAAGUCCUCGUCGACGCACGCCACGACAAUCGGUGGUUGCGAAACCUCGGUUGCCCGUCGUGUGCGGUCGUCGCGCAUCGAGGGCUCGAAAAAAUUGCCGGGUUCCGGCUCGGCUUUCAACGCGACCCCAGGUCAGGCGGGGUUACCCGCUGAAUUUAAGAAUAUCAAUAAGCGGAGGA
rnacentral:misc_RNA from 1 species